AGGUAAGCUACUAAGAGCGAAUGGUGGAUGCCUUGACUGGUAAAGGCGAUGAAGGACGUACUAGACUGCGAUAAGCUACGGGGAGCUGUCAAGAAGCUUUGAUCCGUAGAUUUCCGAAUGGGGCAACCCAAUGUAUAGAGAUAUACAUUACCUAUAUAGGAGCGAACGAGGGGAAUUGAAACAUCUUAGUACCCUCAGGAAAAGAAAUCAAUAGAGAUUGCGUCAGUAGCGGCGAGCGAAAGCGCAAGAGGGCAAACCCAGUGCUUGCACUGGGGGUUGUAGGACUGCAAUGUGCAAGAGGUAAGUUUAGCAGAACAUUCUGGAAAGUAUAACCAUAGAGGGUGAUAGUCCCGUAUGCGAAAAACAAACCUUAGCUAGCAGUAUCCUGAGUAGGGCGGGACACGAGGAAUCCUGUCUGAAUCCGGGUCGACCACGAUCCAACCCUAAAUACUAAUACCAGAUCGAUAGUGUACAAGUACCGUGAGGGAAAGGUGAAAAGAACUGAGGUGAUCAGAGUGAAAUAGAACCUGAAACCAUUUGCUUACAAUCAUUCAGAGCCCUAUGUAGCAAUACAGGGUGAUGGACUGCCUUUUGCAUAAUGAGCCUGCGAGUUGUGGUGUCUGGCAAGGUUAAGCAAACGCGAAGCCGUAGCGAAAGCGAGUCUGAAUAGGGCGCUUAGUCAGAUGCUGCAGACCCGAAACGAAGUGAUCUAUCCAUGAGCAAGUUGAAGCUAGUGUAAGAACUAGUGGAGGACUGAACCCAUAGGCGUUGAAAAGCCCCGGGAUGACUUGUGGAUAGGGGUGAAAGGCCAAUCAAACUUCGUGAUAGCUGGUUCUCUCCGAAAUAUAUUUAGGUAUAGCGUUGUGUCGUAAUAUAAGGGGGUAGAGCACUGAAUGGGCUAGGGCAUACACCAAUGUACCAAACCCUAUCAAACUCCGAAUACCUUAUAUGUAAUCACAGCAGUCAGGCGGCGAGUGAUAAAAUCCGUCGUCAAGAGGGAAACAACCCAGACUACCAGCUAAGGUCCCUAAAUCUUACUUAAGUGGAAAACGAUGUGAAGUUACUUAAACAACCAGGAGGUUGGCUUAGAAGCAGCCAUCCUUUAAAGAAAGCGUAAUAGCUCACUGGUCUAGUGAUUUUGCGCGGAAAAUAUAACGGGGCUAAAGUAAGUACCGAAGCUGUAGACUUGCACACAACUUAGAUUAUUUAAGUUUAGAAUAUUAAGAAACUAAGUUAUAUGUUUUAGUUAUAUUUUUACUGAUUUUUAUAGGGUAAAGAUAGAAAUAAAACUUAGUAAAAUCAGUAAAAAUAUUCUUAGGCUAAAGUUAAGUAGUUUAAGUUGUGUGCAAGUGGUAGGAGAGCGUUCUAUUUGCGCCGAAGGUAUACCGGUAAGGAGUGCUGGAGCGAAUAGAAGUGAGCAUGCAGGCAUGAGUAGCGAUAAUUAAUGUGAGAAUCAUUAACGCCGUAAACCCAAGGUUUCCUACGCGAUGCUCGUCAUCGUAGGGUUAGUCGGGUCCUAAGCCGAGUCCGAAAGGGGUAGGCGAUGGCAAAUUGGUUAAUAUUCCAAUACCAACAUUAGUGUGCGAUGGAAGGACGCUUAGGGCUAAGGGGGCUAGCGGAUGGAAGUGCUAGUCUAAGGUCGUAGGAGGUUAUACAGGCAAAUCCGUAUAACAAUACUCCGAGAACUGAAAGGCUUUUUGAAGUCUUCGGAUGGAUAGAAGAACCCCUGAUGCCGUCGAGCCAAGAAAAGUUUCUAAGUUUAGCUAAUGUUGCCCGUACCGUAAACCGACACAGGUGGGUGGGAUGAGUAUUCUAAGGCGCGUGGAAGAACUCUCUUUAAGGAACUCUGCAAAAUAGCACCGUAUCUUCGGUAUAAGGUGUGGUUCGCUUCGUACUAGGAUUUACUCCGAAAGCGAAGAAACUUACAACAAAGAGUCCCUCCCGACUGUUUACCAAAAACACAGCACUCUGCUAACUCGUAAGAGGAUGUAUAGGGUGUGACGCCUGCCCGGUGCUCGAAGGUUAAUUGAUGGGGUUAGCAUUAGCGAAGCUCUUGAUCGAAGCCCGAGUAAACGGCGGCCGUAACUAUAACGGUCCUAAGGUAGCGAAAUUCCUUGUCGGUUAAAUACCGACCUGCAUGAAUGGCGUAACGAGAUGGGAGCUGUCUCAAAGAGGGAUCCAGUGAAAUUGUAGUGGAGGUGAAAAUUCCUCCUACCCGCGGCAAGACGGAAAGACCCCGUGGACCUU
rnacentral:rRNA from 1 species